UAAAGCAAAAAUAAGAAAAGAAAAAAGGUGAAGAGAACGCACGAUCUUUAACAAUUGAAUCCAAUCCAGUAAUCUCUUCCAACGGUUCUUCUUGCCCACACUCCACGAUCACCAUUCAUAUCAGUUUCUUAUAACUACGUUCAUUCCAUCAUUUAUACUUCUGCAAUGUCUUUCUGUGAUCUCUCUUUACUCAAAUCCACGCAACAUUUCUUCUCUGAGAUAAAUUGGUAUUUGGUAUAUCAUCUCAUAUUGUUUUUUGUUGCCCAGUUUUUCGGGAUCUCACUUUUCUCUCUACUUUUUCCAUGACAGCAUUUGUACAGGGAGCUUCGCUAAGAUGCAAAGUUUAUCUUAGAAGAACUCAGGUUUGAAUAUUUUUUCUUCCCAAAUAUGUAAAUCUGAGACAGAGGAAAUGCAAUAAAACGUUUUUAUGUAAGUGUAUACCUCUGCUUCCAAUAAAAACAAGAGAGAAUAAGAACAAAGUAUUGUUGGGUCAGUCUACAAUCCAGCAAAAGAAAAGCCAAAACAAAUGAAGGAGUUUUCUCUGCAACAAACGGAAUACAAGAACAGAACCACCAAUAAUCUGAAAACAAGUGGUAUUUUUAAUUUUCUCUGAUUCUCUUUCUUAUGUGUUUUUUUGAAAAUCUCUAUUUUAUUUUUGUAACCUUUACAUACAUGAAGAAAUUCCAUCGGCUACUAAUAUUAAUGUGAUGCAGCUUUCAGAAGAUGGAAAUGCAACAAAAACCUAACAUUACAUGGGAAAACAGUAUCAACAAUUUCGAUGAUGCAACAAGGUAUUUACAAAUUUUAAGUUAAAAAAAAAACAAGGUAUUUACAAAUAUGUGUGUUAUGGUCUGAGUGCUUCACAAAUCUUUUUUUAAAAUUAUAAUACAGAAAAUCCAAUAUAUUAUAUACAAAUUGAAUAUUCUAACUAUAUGGAUUCUAUUAUGUUUAGUUUCGUUGUUUUUAUUAUUCAUUAUAUCAAAUCUAAGGAGGACUAUUUUAAAGAAGAAUUAUUUACAAAAGAAAUAAGAGUUCAAAAAAUAAACGAAUAGAUCAAACGUAAUAUUUUAACUACAUUUCUGCAUGUAUGUACCUUAAUUUUCAAACUCUUUGUUUGAUUAAUGCAGCCACUGCUAAAUGGAGUACUGAGGUAAUAAUAAGUAUAUAGGACUCCCAUUAUAUAAUCACUCUCUUACUCUUUUCCAUUAUACAAAUCUAUUUUUUCUUCUUUUUUUGACAAAUGUUUUUUUUCUUCUUCCCAAUAGCUUAUCCUUAGGAAACAAAUGAACAAAAUAUUUGGCUGAGUGCGUAUAUUUAAGACAUCAGACCUUAAUACUGGUUGGGAACGUAAAUAUUUUUAACACUUUUCUUUCGGUUAACAAUGGAAUCUUCCAAUGUAUUUUUUUGAGUUUUUUCAGCAAGAAGUGUAUUGGUUUAUAACAGUCAAAUGAUAGGCUAGGUCAUCUUACCACCGAGGAACCUGAAAUUGGCAUAUUGGCGCUGACUGAAUGAUCAAAUGCUAUUUAUUCUAUUCCUUUUAUUUGAACUGAUGAGUUGAUUAUAAAUGUAUUUGAAACCAGUUAUUUGUUGUCUCUUAUUUAUUACAUUUUACUCAAAACAUAUUAAAUUAUAUGUAAUUAUUGAUUUGUUUUUCUAAUAAAAUAAUAUUUGAUUUUGUUUUGCAAUAUGCGUAAAAGAAUUAGUCAACCCGCGCUAUUGCGCGGGUAAAUAUCUAGUUUUAUAUAAAUCAUAAGGGGGUUAUUGGAAUCCCUUAUAUACUAAAGCACAAGUCACUUGGCUAAUUAGAUUUUGACACAUGGAUCCUAUUUUAUUUUUUAAAGAUUACAAAUUAUGUAUAAAAUAAUUAAAGCAAAAAUAAGAAAAGAAAAAAGGUGAAGAGAACGCACGAUCUUUAACAAUUGAAUCCAAUCCAGUAAUCUCUUCCAACGGUUCUUCUUGCCCACACUCCACGAUCACCAUUCAUAUCAGUUUCUUAUAACUACGUUCAUUCCAUCAUUUAUACUUCUGCAAUGUCUUUCUGUGAUCUCUCUUUACUCAAAUCCACGCAACAUUUCUUCUCUGAGAUAAAUUGGUAUUUGGUAUAUCAUCUCAUAUUGUUUUUUGUUGCCCAGUUUUUCGGGAUCUCACUUUUCUCUCUACUUUUUCCAUGACAGCAUUUGUACAGGGAGCUUCGCUAAGAUGCAAAGUUUAUCUUAGAAGAACUCAGGUUUGAAUCUUUUUUCUUCCCAAAUAUGUAAAUCUGAGACAGAGGAAAUGCAAUAAAACGUUUUUAUGUAAGUGUAUACCUCUGCUUCCAAUAAAAACAAGAGAGAAUAAGAACAAAGUAUUGUUGGGUCAGUCUACAAUCCAGCAAAAGAAAAGCCAAAACAAAUGAAGGAGUUUUCUCUGCAACAAACGGAAUACAAGAACAGGACCACCAAUAAUCUGAAAACAAGUGGUAUUUUUAAUUUUCUCUGAUUCUCUUUCUUAUGUGUUUUUUUGAAAAUCUCUAUUUUAUUUUUGUAACCUUUACAUACAUGAAGAAAUUCCAUCGGCUACUAAUAUUAAUGUGAUGCAGCUUUCAGAAGAUGGAAAUGCAACAAAAACCUAACAUUACAUGGGAAAACAGUAUCAACAACUUCGAUGAUGCAACAAGGUAUUUACAAAUUUUAAGUUAAAAAAAAAAACAAGGUAUUUACAAAUAUGUGUGUUAUGGUCUGAGUGCUUCACAAAUCUUUUUUUAAAAUUAUAAUACAGAAAAUCCAAUAUAUUAUAUACAAAUUGAAUAUUCUAACUAUAUGGAUUCUAUUAUGUUUAGUUUCGUUGUUUUUAUUAUUCAUUAUAUCAAAUCUAAGGAGGACUAUUUUAAAGAAGAAUUAUUUACAAAAGAAAUAAGAGUUCAAAAAAUAAACGAAUAGAUCAAACGUAAUAUUUUAACUACAUUUCUGCAUGUAUGUACCUUAAUUUUCAAACUCUUUGUUUGAUUAAUGCAGCCACUGCUAAAUGGAGUACUGAGGUAAUAAUAAGUAUAUAGGACUCCCAUUAUAUAAUCACUCUCUUACUCUUUUCCAUUAUACAAAUCUAUUUUUUCUUCUUUUUUUGACAAAUGUUUUUUUUCUUCUUCCCAAUAGCUUAUCCUUAGGAAACAAAUGAACAAAAUAUUUGGCUGAGUGCGUAUAUUUAAGACAUCAGACCUUAAUACUGGUUGGGAACGUAAAUAUUUUUAACACUUUUCUUUCGGUUAACAAUGGAAUCUUCCAAUGUAUUUUUUUGAGUUUUUUCAGCAAGAAGUGUAUUGGUUUAUAACAGUCAAAUGAUAGGCUAGGUCAUCUUACCACCGAGGAACCUGAAAUUGGCAUAUUGGCGCUGACUGAAUGAUCAAAUGCUAUUUAUUCUAUUCCUUUUAUUUGAACUGAUGAGUUGAUUAUAAAUGUAUUUGAAACCAGUUAUUUGUUGUCUCUUAUUUAUUACAUUUACUCAAAACAUAUUAAAUUAUAUGUAAUUAUUGAUUUGUUUUUCUAAUAAAAUAAUAUUUGAUUUUGUUUUGCAAUAUGCGUAAAAGAAUUAGUCAACCCGCGCUAUUGCGCGGGCAAAUAUCUAGUUUUAUAUAAAUCAUAAGGGGGUUAUUGGAAUCAGAAUUUGGAAGGGAUUUAGUGAUUUUAAAAGUUGACAGACUUUUAGAAAGUUAAAUAGAGUUAACAAAUAUUUUUUAAAUUUCUAUCAAAUAUUUGAUAUAGAUUUCUAUUGAUUAUUAUGGAUAGAUGCAAUAGGAAAUGGAAAGUCAACAAUGAUGGUGAGACAUAAUUUUUAUUGGUUAUUGUUCUUUGUGUUAUGUGAUGGUGUAUUCAUUUAUCUGGGAAACAUGAUACCAAUAACAUAACACGAGAUUGAUGGUGUGUUUCUUUGUGUUAUUGUAUGGUGUACUCAUUUCUCUGGGAAAUCUGAUACUAAUAACAUAACACAACGACGAUGGUGUGUUCUUUGUGUUAUGGUGAGGCAGACUUUUUAUCAGUUUUGUUGCUCGGUAUCAUUCAAAACUUGUGUGUUUACGUUAGUUUUGUUAUUAUAAACAUUUUUCUCUUCGUUUUGCUAUUAUUGUCUGUUUUUUUUUUGUUAUAAUAAUGAUGAUCAUGAAUGGCGUGUUCACGUUAGUUUUGAAAGAACAUUCUAGUUUUUGAGUUUGUAUGUAUAUGUUUUUACUACAUUGAUUUCAAGAAUCUUUUGAGUAUAUGUGAUAUUUUCAAAGUUUAGUAUUAUGAGUAAGAAUAUAAAAAAAUUUAACUUCCAAUAACAAUAGAAUUUAAUAGAAUUACAAAAUCAAUAAUAACUAAACUUUUUGAAUAAUAAUAAAUUUGAAUGAAAUUUAAAAAUAACAAUGGAUUUUGGUAAGAUUAUAUAAACCCUUAAACCAAUAACAAUAGAUUUUCAAAAUUUUACAAGUAGAUUAUAUACUAAAGCACAAGUCACUUGGCUAAUUAGAUUUUGACACAUGGAUCCUAUUUUAUUUUUUAAAGAUUACAAAUUAUGUAUAAAAUAAUUAAAGCAAAAAUAAGAAAAGAAAAAAGGUGAAGAGAACGCACGAUCUUUAACAAUUGAAUCCAAUCCAGUAAUCUCUUCCAACGGUUCUUCUUGCCCACACUCCACGAUCACCAUUCAUAUCAGUUUCUUAUAACUACGUUCAUUCCAUCAUUUAUACUUCUGCAAUGUCUUUCUGUGAUCUCUCUUUACUCAAAUCCACGCAACAUUUCUUCUCUGAGAUAAAUUGGUAUUUGGUAUAUCAUCUCAUAUUGUUUUUUGUUGCCCAGUUUUUCGGGAUCUCACUUUUCUCUCUACUUUUUCCAUGACAGCAUUUGUACAGGGAGCUUCGCUAAGAUGCAAAGUUUAUCUUAGAAGAACUCAGGUUUGAAUCUUUUUUCUUCCCAAAUAUGUAAAUCUGAGACAGAGGAAAUGCAAUAAAACGUUUUUAUGUAAGUGUAUACCUCUGCUUCCAAUAAAAACAAGAGAGAAUAAGAACAAAGUAUUGUUGGGUCAGUCUACAAUCCAGCAAAAGAAAAGCCAAAACAAAUGAAGGAGUUUUCUCUGCAACAAACGGAAUACAAGAACAGAACCACCAAUAAUCUGAAAACAAGUGGUAUUUUUAAUUUUCUCUGAUUCUCUUUCUUAUGUGUUUUUUUGAAAAUCUCUAUUUUAUUUUUGUAACCUUUACAUACAUGAAGAAAUUCCAUCGGCUACUAAUAUUAAUGUGAUGCAGCUUUCAGAAGAUGGAAAUGCAACAAAAACCUAACAUUACAUGGGAAAACAGUAUCAACAACUUCGAUGAUGCAACAAGGUAUUUACAAAUUUUAAGUUAAAAAAAAAAACAAGGUAUUUACAAAUAUGUGUGUUAUGGUCUGAGUGCUUCACAAAUCUUUUUUUAAAAUUAUAAUACAGAAAAUCCAAUAUAUUAUAUACAAAUUGAAUAUUCUAACUAUAUGGAUUCUAUUAUGUUUAGUUUCGUUGUUUUUAUUAUUCAUUAUAUCAAAUCUAAGGAGGACUAUUUUAAAGAAGAAUUAUUUACAAAAGAAAUAAGAGUUCAAAAAAUAAACGAAUAGAUCAAACGUAAUAUUUUAACUACAUUUCUGCAUGUAUGUACCUUAAUUUUCAAACUCUUUGUUUGAUUAAUGCAGCCACUGCUAAAUGGAGUACUGAGGUAAUAAUAAGUAUAUAGGACUCCCAUUAUAUAAUCACUCUCUUACUCUUUUCCAUUAUACAAAUCUAUUUUUUCUUCUUUUUUUGACAAAUGUUUUUUUUCUUCUUCCCAAUAGCUUAUCCUUAGGAAACAAAUGAACAAAAUAUUUGGCUGAGUGCGUAUAUUUAAGACAUCAGACCUUAAUACUGGUUGGGAACGUAAAUAUUUUUAACACUUUUCUUUCGGUUAACAAUGGAAUCUUCCAAUGUAUUUUUUUGAGUUUUUUCAGCAAGAAGUGUAUUGGUUUAUAACAGUCAAAUGAUAGGCUAGGUCAUCUUACCACCGAGGAACCUGAAAUUGGCAUAUUGGCGCUGACUGAAUGAUCAAAUGCUAUUUAUUCUAUUCCUUUUAUUUGAACUGAUGAGUUGAUUAUAAAUGUAUUUGAAACCAGUUAUUUGUUGUCUCUUAUUUAUUACAUUUUACUCAAAACAUAUUAAAUUAUAUGUAAUUAUUGAUUUGUUUUUCUAAUAAAAUAAUAUUUGAUUUUGUUUUGCAAUAUGCGUAAAAGAAUUAGUCAACCCGCGCUAUUGCGCGGGUAAAUAUCUAGUUUUAUAUAAAUCAUAAGGGGGUUAUUGGAAUCCCUUAUAUACUAAAGCACAAGUCACUUGGCUAAUUAGAUUUUGACACAUGGAUCCUAUUUUAUUUUUUAAAGAUUACAAAUUAUGUAUAAAAUAAUUAAAGCAAAAAUAAGAAAAGAAAAAAGGUGAAGAGAACGCACGAUCUUUAACAAUUGAAUCCAAUCCAGUAAUCUCUUCCAACGGUUCUUCUUGCCCACACUCCACGAUCACCAUUCAUAUCAGUUUCUUAUAACUACGUUCAUUCCAUCAUUUAUACUUCUGCAAUGUCUUUCUGUGAUCUCUCUUUACUCAAAUCCACGCAACAUUUCUUCUCUGAGAUAAAUUGGUAUUUGGUAUAUCAUCUCAUAUUGUUUUUUGUUGCCCAGUUUUUCGGGAUCUCACUUUUCUCUCUACUUUUUCCAUGACAGCAUUUGUACAGGGAGCUUCGCUAAGAUGCAAAGUUUAUCUUAGAAGAACUCAGGUUUGAAUCUUUUUUCUUCCCAAAUAUGUAAAUCUGAGACAGAGGAAAUGCAAUAAAACGUUUUUAUGUAAGUGUAUACCUCUGCUUCCAAUAAAAACAAGAGAGAAUAAGAACAAAGUAUUGUUGGGUCAGUCUACAAUCCAGCAAAAGAAAAGCCAAAACAAAUGAAGGAGUUUUCUCUGCAACAAACGGAAUACAAGAACAGAACCACCAAUAAUCUGAAAACAAGUGCUUUCAGAAGAUGGAAAUGCAACAAAAACCUAACAUUACAUGGGAAAACAGUAUCAACAACUUCGAUGAUGCAACAAGGUAUUUACAAAUUUUAAGUUAAAAAAAAAAACAAGGUAUUUACAAAUAUGUGUGUUAUGGUCUGAGUGCUUCACAAAUCUUUUUUUAAAAUUAUAAUACAGAAAAUCCAAUAUAUUAUAUACAAAUUGAAUAUUCUAACUAUAUGGAUUCUAUUAUGUUUAGUUUCGUUGUUUUUAUUAUUCAUUAUAUCAAAUCUAAGGAGGACUAUUUUAAAGAAGAAUUAUUUACAAAAGAAAUAAGAGUUCAAAAAAUAAACGAAUAGAUCAAACGUAAUAUUUUAACUACAUUUCUGCAUGUAUGUACCUUAAUUUUCAAACUCUUUGUUUGAUUAAUGCAGCCACUGCUAAAUGGAGUACUGAGGUAAUAAUAAGUAUAUAGGACUCCCAUUAUAUAAUCACUCUCUUACUCUUUUCCAUUAUACAAAUCUAUUUUUUCUUCUUUUUUUGACAAAUGUUUUUUUUCUUCUUCCCAAUAGCUUAUCCUUAGGAAACAAAUGAACAAAAUAUUUGGCUGAGUGCGUAUAUUUAAGACAUCAGACCUUAAUACUGGUUGGGAACGUAAAUAUUUUUAACACUUAUCUUUCGGUUAACAAUGGAAUCUUCCAAUGUAUUUUUUGAGUUUUUUCAGCAAGAAGUGUAUUGGUUUAUAACAGUCAAAUGAUAGGCUAGGUCAUCUUACCACCGAGGAACCUGAAAUUGGCAUAUUGGCGCUGACUGAAUGAUCAAAUGCUAUUUAUUCUAUUCCUUUUAUUUGAACUGAUGAGUUGAUUAUAAAUGUAUUUGAAACCAGUUAUUUGUUGUCUCUUAUUUAUUACAUUUUACUCAAAACAUAUUAAAUUAUAUGUAAUUAUUGAUUUGUUUUUCUAAUAAAAUAAUAUUUGAUUUUGUUUUGCAAUAUGCGUAAAAGAAUUAGUCAACCCGCGCUAUUGCGCGGGUAAAUAUCUAGUUUUAUAUAAAUCAUAAGGGGGUUAUUGGAAUCCCUUAUAUACUAAAGCACAAGUCACUUGGCUAAUUAGAUUUUGACACAUGGAUCCUAUUUUAUUUUUUAAAGAUUACAAAUUAUGUAUAAAAUAAUUAAAGCAAAAAUAAGAAAAGAAAAAAGGUGAAGAGAACGCACGAUCUUUAACAAUUGAAUCCAAUCCAGUAAUCUCUUCCAACGGUUCUUCUUGCCCACACUCCACGAUCACCAUUCAUAUCAGUUUCUUAUAACUACGUUCAUUCCAUCAUUUAUACUUCUGCAAUGUCUUUCUGUGAUCUCUCUUUACUCAAAUCCACGCAACAUUUCUUCUCUGAGAUAAAUUGGUAUUUGGUAUAUCAUCUCAUAUUGUUUUUUGUUGCCCAGUUUUUCGGGAUCUCACUUUUCUCUCUACUUUUUCCAUGACAGCAUUUGUACAGGGAGCUUCGCUAAGAUGCAAAGUUUAUCUUAGAAGAACUCAGGUUUGAAUCUUUUUUCUUCCCAAAUAUGUAAAUCUGAGACAGAGGAAAUGCAAUAAAACGUUUUUAUGUAAGUGUAUACCUCUGCUUCCAAUAAAAACAAGAGAGAAUAAGAACAAAGUAUUGUUGGGUCAGUCUACAAUCCAGCAAAAGAAAAGCCAAAACAAAUGAAGGAGUUUUCUCUGCAACAAACGGAAUACAAGAACAGAACCACCAAUAAUCUGAAAACAAGUGCUUUCAGAAGAUGGAAAUGCAACAAAAACCUAACAUUACAUGGGAAAACAGUAUCAACAACUUCGAUGAUGUAACAAGCCACUGCUAAAUGGAGUACUGAGGUAAUAAUAAGUAUAUAGGACUCCCAUUAUAUAAUCACUCUCUUACUCUUUUCCAUUAUACAAAUCUAUUUUUUCUUCUUUUUUUGACAAAUGUUUUUUUUCUUCUUCCCAAUAGCUUAUCCUUAGGAAACAAAUGAACAAAAUAUUUGGCUGAGUGCGUAUAUUUAAGACAUCAGACCUUAAUACUGGUUGGGAACGUAAAUAUUUUUAACACUUUUCUUUCGGUUAACAAUGGAAUCUUCCAAUGUAUUUUUUUGAGUUUUUUCAGCAAGAAGUGUAUUGGUUUAUAACAGUCAAAUGAUAGGCUAGGUCAUCUUACCACCGAAGAACCUGAAAUUGGCAUAUUGGCGCUGACUGAAUGAUCAAAUGCUAUUUAUUCUAUUCCUUUUAUUUGAACUGAUGAGUUGAUUAUAAAUGUAUUUGAAACCAGUUAUUUGUUGUCUCUUAUUUAUUACAUUUUACUCAAAACAUAUUAAAUUAUAUGUAAUUAUUGAUUUGUUUUUCUAAUAAAAUAAUAUUUGAUUUUGUUUUGCAAUAUGCGUAAAAGAAUUAGUCAACCCGCGCUAUUGCGCGGGCAAAUAUCUAGUUUUAUAUAAAUCAUAAGGGGGUUAUUGGAAUCAGAAUUUGGAAGGGAUUUAGUGAUUUUAAAAGUUGACAGACUUUUAGAAAGUUAAAUAGAGUUAACAAAUAUUUUUUAAAUUUCUAUCAAAUAUUUGAUAUAGAUUUCUAUUGAUUAUUAUGGAUAGAUGCAAUAGGAAAUGGAAAGUCAACAAUGAUGGUGAGACAUAAUUUUUAUUGGUUAUUGUUCUUUGUGUUAUGUGAUGGUGUAUUCAUUUAUCUGGGAAACAUGAUACCAAUAACAUAACACGAGAUUGAUGGUGUGUUUCUUUGUGUUAUUGUAUGGUGUACUCAUUUCUCUGGGAAAUCUGAUACUAAUAACAUAACACAACGACGAUGGUGUGUUCUUUGUGUUAUGGUGAGGCAGACUUUUUAUCAGUUUUGUUGCUCGGUAUCAUUCAAAACUUGUGUGUUUACGUUAGUUUUGUUAUUAUAAACAUUUUUCUCUUCAGUUUUGCUAUUAUUGUCUGUUUUUUUUUUGUUAUAAUAAUGAUGAUCAUGAAUGGCGUGUUCACGUUAGUUUUGAAAGAACAUUCUAGUUUUUGAGUUUGUAUGUAUAUGUUUUUACUACAUUGAUUUCAAGAAUCUUUUGAGUAUAUGUGAUAUUUUCAAAGUUUAGUAUUAUGAGUAAGAAUAUAAAAAAAUUUAACUUCCAAUAACAAUAGAAUUUAAUAGAAUUACAAAAUCAAUAAUAACUAAACUUUUUGAAUAAUAAUAAAUUUGAAUGAAAUUUAAAAAUAACAAUGGAUUUUGGUAAGAUUAUAUAAACCCUUAAACCAAUAACAAUAGAUUUUCAAAAUUUUACAAUUCCUUUAGAAUUCUUAAAUCAAUAACCCCCAUCCCCCCAAGACUAAAGACGUCUUAAGGUUUGUAUAUGAAUAUAGAUGACUUAAGAUGAUGAAAAACUUGAUGAAAAUAUUCUUACAGUUAUUGUUAAAUAGUUUUGAAUUCGCAACUGGAUCCACAAAAUCAUAUUUCAUAUGAACUUGUCUUAUAAGACUCUUAGAGGAGACACAGGAAAAAGAUCAUAAGGUGAGCGAGAUAGAAGGCUUGUGAGACUAUGAGAAUCUUAAAAUAUCUCUGGAGAUAAGAAUUAAACAUGAUGAAGUAUGUGAGACAAUAUUUGAUGGCUUGGAACUGGAUGGACCGAGGGAACGGUUGUAUCACCACAACUCCAUACGCAAUUCGAUGUCGUAUGUGCCCACCAUUACCCUAGUAAGUUUAAGUUAUUGUUUAUUGUUAUGUCGGUCAGUUUUAUUAGCUAUUGAUCAUUAUUAAUUCUUUAAUUUGUUUCUUUCAGGACCUCUGGCAACCGUUUUGGAGGAUCAAUCUGUGGAUAUCAAAAUAAAAAGACUAAUGAUCAAAUAGCGUAGAAAUUAGAAAGUGUUUAGCUCCUAAAAAGAAACACUCCUCAUAUAAGGAGAUGGAGGUUACGAAAAAUCUAUCAAGAAACUAGUUAAUGUUGGUCACAUUACCAUAUUAAUCUACGACAAAAUGUCAAGAUCAAAACAACUCCUCAAAUUUGAAAACAGAAGAGUUUAGAAAUUCUUUAAUGUUGAUAUUUUUAUAUAGAUUAUUAUUAUCACAUUCAAAUAAUUAAACAAAUGAUAUAUCCCCAUUUGUGAGGUUUGUAAUUCUUUAAUGUUGAUAUUUUCAAAUAGAAUGUUCUAAAUAAUUGUUUUUAAUUUUUUUGUAGUUAGAAGAAGGAAAAAUUAUGCAUAUUUAGUGCAGUUGAUGAGUACUUUGCAAUCGUGAGAACUAGAAAGUAAAUGUACCAAUUGGUAUGUAAUUGACUCACUUUUCUGAGGUAGGUAAUAUUAGUUUAUGAUCUUUUCAGAUGCACUAAUUUCUUAUAGCUUGAAAUUUUUUAUGUUUAAUUGCUAAGUGAUAUCUUGGUUAUUUUCAAAAUAGGUUUUCAAAGUUUUGAUUUUUUUCAUUUUCCACCCAAUCUUCUUAAUUUGCAGAGAUAACUUUUGAUUUCACCUCAAACUUUCAAUUAUGCAAUCUAAACCCUGUUUUAUGAAAUUAUGUAUAUGCAAAUGCAAUAUAUAUACCUAAUAUGCAAUCGAGAUGACCAAAAUGAAUUAAAAUAAGAUUUUAAAACUCAUCAAAAUCAUAACAUAUCACUAAACACUUGACUGAUCAUAGUUUAUUGAGUCUCCGUACAUCUAUGAAUCAAUAUUCUCUUUUGAUAAAAAGGUAAAAUUUACAUUCACAAAUAAUAGAUUUCAUUAGUUUUGUCAUCAACAAAUACAGAUUCAUACUAACUCUGUAAAUAUCAAUUAAUUAAUCAAUUAUAGACUGAAAUUUCAGAUUAAAUAAAAAUACAUAAUUAAUUAAAUUAAAAUUCAUAGAAAUUUUGUUGCCACCCUUUCAUGGGCUUUUAUUCCACAGCUAUACACACAUCUGCUAACCAAAUCUUGGAAAUGAUUUCAUAACUGACAGUACAUAAAUUGCUUUCAGUCUGGAAUCAGUCAUUGAGAUUGGAGGAGAUAUAUCUGGGAUCAGGCAGAUGUUCAAGUGGUUAUGCUGGUUGUCCAGAAAAUCAGCUUCGAAAAAGUUUGUACUCCCUGUAUAAUUGUUGGACUAAUCUCAGACCAAAAAACAUCAAGUCCCCUGUUUGGACAAAUAGAAAAAAAACAGUUUGUUUGAUCUAUUCUAUCAUUGGUUUGUUAAAUCUUGGUUCAUAGUUUUCAGUAACAAUUGUCUGAAAACCCUGAAAACCUAUG